rnacentral:rRNA from 1 species
UACAGAGACUGCAAGCGUUAUUCGGAUUCACUGGGCGUAAAGGGUGCGCAGGUGGCCAAGUGUGUUAGGCGUGAAAGCCCGGGGCUUAACCCCGGAAUUGCACCUAAAACUACAUGGCUAGAGCAUUGGAGAGGGGAGCAGAAUUCACGGUGUAGCAGUGAAAUGCGUAGAUAUCGUGAGGAAUACCAGAGGCGAAGGCGGCUCCCUGGACAAUUGCUGACACUCAGGCACGAAAGCGUGGGGAGCAAACAGGG